rnacentral:rRNA from 1 species
CAAGUCGAGCGAACAGAUGAGAAGCUUGCUUCUCUGAUGUUAGCGGCGGACGGGUGAGUAACACGUGGGUAACCUACCUAUAAGACUGGGAUAACUCCGGGAAACCGGGGCUAAUACCGGAUAAUAUUUUGAACCGCAUGGUUCAAUAGUGAAAGACGGUUUCGGCUGUCACUUAUAGAUGGACCCGCGCCGUAUUAGCUAGUUGGUAAGGUAACGGCUUACCAAGGCGACGAUACGUAGCCGACCUGAGAGGGUGAUCGGCCACACUGGAACUGAGACACGGUCCAGACUCCUACAGGAGGCAGCAGUAGGGAAUCUUCCGCAUUGGGCGAAAGCCUGACGGAGCAACGCCGCGUGAGUGAUGAAGGUCUUCGGAUCGUAAAACUCUGUUGUUAGGGAAGAACAAAUUUGUUAGUAACUGAACAAGUCUUGACGGUACCUAACCAGAAAGCCACGGCUAACUACGUGCCAGCAGCCGCGGUAAUACGUAGGUGGCAAGCGUUAUCCGGAAUUAUUGGGCGUAAAGCGCGCGUAGGCGGUUUCUUAAGUCUGAUGUGAAAGCCCACGGCUCAACCGUGGAGGGUCAUUGGAAACUGGGAAACUUGAGUGCAGAAGAGGAGAGUGGAAUUCCAUGUGUAGCGGUGAAAUGCGCAGAGAUAUGGAGGAACACCAGUGGCGAAGGCG